rnacentral:rRNA from 1 species
AUACGGAGGACGCGAGCGUUAUCCGGAUUCAUUGGGUUUAAAGGGUGCGCAGGCGGCCGUGCAAGUCAGCGGUGAAAGCCCGGGGCUCAACCCCGGAAGUGCCGUUGAUACUGCAUGGCUGGAAUGCGGUCGAGGCGGGCGGAACGUGGGGUGUAGCGGUGGAAAGCUGAGAUAUGCCACCGAACGCCGAUAGCGGAGGAAGCUCGCCAGGCCUGCAUGGACGCUCGGGCACGAAAGCGUGGGGAUCGAACAGGAUUAGAUACCCUGGUAGUCCACGCCGUAAACGAUGGGCGCUCGUCGUCGGCGGCAGACAGUCGGCGGCCAAGCGAAAGCGAUAAGCGCCCCACCUGGGGAGUACGGUCGCAAGGCUGAAACUCAAAUGAAUUGACGGGG